CGAACGCUGGCGGCGUGCCUACUACAUGCACGUCGAGCGGACUGAUUAAGAGCUUGCUCUUAUGACGUUAGCGGCGGACGGGUGAGUAACACGUGGGCAACCUGCCCUGUAGAUCGGGAUAACACCGAGAAAUCGGUGCUAAUACCGGGUAAUAUCUGAGAUCACAUGAUCUUAGGUUAAAAGAUGGCUCCGGCUAUCACUACAGGAUGGGCCCGCGGCGCAUUAGCUAGUUGGUAAGGUAAUGGCUUACCAAGGCGACGAUGCGUAGCCGACCUGAGAGGGUGAUCGGCCACACUGGGACUGAGACACGGCCCAGACUCCUACGGGAGGCAGCAGUAGGGAAUCUUCCGCAAUGGACGAAAGUCUGACGGAGCAACGCCGCGUGAGUGAUGAAGGGUUUCGGCUCGUAAAGCUCUGUUGUUAGGGAAGAAACAGUACCGAACGAACUAGGUCGGUACCUUGACGGUACCUAACCAGAAAGCCACGGCUAACUACGUG
rnacentral:rRNA from 1 species